AUUUAUAUAACUUUACAUCAUUUAUCCUUAUAUAACUAUUUGACUGAAAUGGUUAUCAGAAAUAUCUCAGAAAUAAUUAUUUUUUAAAAAAGACUAAAAUGUUUUGACUAAAACUUGACUAA